rfam:Myotis davidii contig185573, whole genome shotgun sequence.
AGACCCAGAGAGAGAGGCAGAGUCUGAUCCACAGGCUCAGUGGCAGCUGCUGAUCAGUUGUUGCCUCUCUCUUUCUCUCCC